GAUCUGGCUCAGGGUGAACGCUAGCGACAGGCCUAACACAUGCAAGUCGAGGGGCAGCGAAGAGGUAGCAAUACCUUUGCCGGCGACCGGCGCACGGGUGAGUAACACGUAUGCAAUCCACCUGUAACAGGGGGAUAACCCGGAGAAAUCCGGACUAAUACCCCAUAAUAUGGGCGCUCCGCAUGGAGAGCCCAUUAAAGAGAGCAAUUUUGGUUACAGACGAGCAUGCGCUCCAUUAG
rnacentral:rRNA from 1 species